GUUCCAUAAGGGUUAGUAUUACCCUUAUGGAACAGUAUGUAGCAAGUAGCA
ncrna:unclassified sequences ssNA-helicase RNA